GGUAAAUUUUGCCCUACUCAUAGAUCCGACCGUGUACUCUUCAAUGGGUGAAAAAUGUAUUGAACAGUUUCAUGGCGCAUCCAGUCGCACAAGACUGAUGUUUGUGAUUCUGCUAAGUUUGACGAUUUUUUCGGGAUUUUCGUGGUUCUGGACCGGCUCAGCCUUGGGCUCAGCGAUCAAAUUUGGAGCCAACAUUUUAUCGACUGAAGACCAGAUGCCGAAUGUAUGACCAUAGUCAUUAAGAAUUAAAGAUUAAUUUAUUAAUGAAUAAAUAUUGCACAUUUACAAAAUAUAAUUAGUGUUGUUUUUUAUUUCUGGAGCUCGAUUUGAAUAGGUCGUAUGUGAUUUCGUCGAUAUAAAAUUCGAUCAGUUGGAUUCGCUUCUUAUGGCGGAAACUGUUAAAAUUUAACAAAAUUAAUACAUACAAGCGAUUCCUUACAAAACAGGCUUUCGGUUUUAUCAUUAAAAGCCACUGAAAUAUCAUCCAUAUUUCUACUAUUACUAAAAUAAACUGAUCGAAUUUUAUAUCUACGAAAGCACAUACGACCUAUUCAAAUCGAGCUCCAGAUUUGAUUGAUAAUUUUAAAAUUCAAAAAUUUCUAAGUCCGCAUAAAAUGAUAAAAAAGGGUAAAUUCUGGAGCUCGAUUUGAAUAGGUCGUAUGUGAUUUCGUCGAUAUAAAAUUCGAUCAGUUGGAUUCGCUUCUUAUGGCGAAAACUGUUAAAAUUUAACAAAAUUAAUACAUACAAGCGAUUCCUUACACAACAGGCUUUCGGUUUUAUCAUUAAAAGCCACUGAAAUAUCAUCCAUAUUUCUUACUACAAUAAACUGAUCGAAUUUUAUAUCGACGAAAGCACAUACGACCUAUUCAAAUCGAGCUCCAGAAAUGUACUCUUUUCAAAUUUCAAAUCGUUCUAGAAAAAGGGUAAAAUUCACUCGUUGAUUUGACGUACAAGCGGUUUACCCUUUUAAGAGUAAAUGCCGUUUACUCUUUUUAUGAGUUCACCUAGUUACUCUCGAAAUGGGUGAAAAAGUACUCUUUAAAGAGUACUUCAGAGUACUUCAGAGUACUUUUAUGCCGGGAUCAAACGGAAACUACCCACUCAGAGCUUUGACGCGAUGUAGCCAAAUUUGGGUUCUCGCACGCAAGAGCCGGUAUGAGUGAAAAGAACUUAUAAUUGGGUUGAUUUAUGGUUCCGUGUGCACGAACAAUACACUCUAAAAAAUUUACACGUCGGAGUGAUGUGUUUUACACAUAGAUUUGCGCAAAUUGUAUUGUCGGGCCGCCACCAAACCGGACUUCGCACAAUCAAGUCGCGACGCGACCCAACUCGCGACGUUUUUUAGUCCUGUCAAAAGUAGUGCGCAUCCUUCCCGUUAUUGUCAGCAACACAGCGCACUAGAUGCGAAACAGUUGCGACACUUCUGUGGGCCAAGAAAUUGGCAAUUUUUGAUUGAAUGUCGGUCUUGAUUCCAACCGGAUAGAUAAUAAAACCAGUGAAUGUCACGUGUGAAUCAUACACGCAGAAAAAUGGCGCUUGUUUAAAACAAUAAAACGCAUGGUUGAUUUUCAAACACGCAGAAAAAUAAAUUGUAAACAUAAUUAAAUUCUAGUUCAAAUCAACCGACUUUUCAGUUUACUAUUUAUAGCGACAAACUGAUUUCUAGUUUAAACUGAACUGUUGCAACUGUUUGAUAAUACAAAUGUUUUAAUUUGACGAAAUUUUUGACAGUUUGUCAGAACAAACAGAGAUUUGGUAGUUUCAACAUAAAAUAACAUAUUGUUUUAAACGACUGCACUUUUGUGACUAACAAAGCCGGAAUGUGAUUGUGUUGGUGACGGCAGCUCCUGCGGCAGCUCGGAAAUCAAUUUUUAGACCGUCGGUGAGCGGAUUGGGAGGAGAACGACUAAAAAAAGACAAAAAAGGCGAAGCCGAUCAACUUUUUGUGGAUGCUGUCGAGAGUACCUGCGCGUUAUCCAUCACGACCAAAGCUGCACUUGGAAGUUGGCGUGAUGGAUUUGCUGCACCUUCUUCGUUGUGGCGAUGUUGGGGUAAGCAUUUUAUAGGUGUGUGAGUGCUUUCGGACCAAGUUUCGGACCAUGUUUAUGGUUUUUAUUUUGUUGAAACAAAUGAAAUUUUUGACAUUAUAUGAAAUGAUGGUAAUCGGUUGUUUUUAUCGAUAAACCCUAAAUGAAAACAAUUAAAUAUAACUUUGGAAUAAGUAAAUUCUCAGUUUGAAAAUCAACCAUGCGUUUUAUUGUUUUAAACAAGCGCCAUUUUUCUGCGUGAACUGAGAAUUUACUUAUUCCAAAGUUAUAUUUAAUUGUUUUCAUUUAGGGUUUAUCGAUAAAAACAACCGAUUACCAUCAUUUCAUAUAAUGUCAAAAAUUUCAUUUGUUUCAACAAAAUAAAAACCAUAAACAUGGUCCGAAACUUGGUCCGAAAGCACUCACACACCUAUAAAAUGCUUACCCCAACAUCGCCACAACGAAGAAGGUGCAGCAAAUCCAUCACGCCAACUUCCAAGUGCAGCUUUGGUCGUGAUGGAUAACGCGCAGGUACUCUCGACAGCAUCCACAAAAAGUUGAUCGGCUUCGCCUUUUUUGUCUUUUUUAGUCGUUCUCCUCCCCAUCCGCUCACCGACGGUCUAAAAAUUGAUUUCCGAGCUGCCGCAGGAGCUGCCGUCACCAACACAAUCACAUUCCGGCUUUGUUAGUCACAAAAGUGCAGUCGUUUAAAACAAUAUGUUAUUUUAUGUUGAAACUACCAAAUCUCUGUUUGUUCUGACAAACUGUCAAAAAUUUCGUCAAAUGAAAACAUUUGUAUUAUCAAACAGUUGCAACAGUUCAGUUUAAACUAGAAAUCAGUUUGUCGCUAUAGUAAACUGAAAAAUCGGUUGAUUUGAACUAGAAUUUAAUUAUGUUUACAAUUUAUUUUUCUGCGUGUAUGGAAUCACUAACAUUAUUUUUUCUCCAAUCUUCAAACAAUCCACACGACUCUUAUGUGUACCUCACAUGGAAUUCAAAUUGAAUACAUUUGGAUUCUGAUGGACUUGCCAAUGAAUGUAUAUUUUCAAUGUAGUUGAAUUUGACUUGUAAAUACAUGCAAUCUUAUUGGGCGGUUCAUACAUUGGGCGGUUCAUGAAUUUCAUGUUAUGAUGCCGUGCCGAUGUAGUUCUCCAGGCAAAAUGCAAUGAGAAAGCUCUUAUUUCACACGAGCUCAUAGUUUUACAAUUACGAUUUUAAUUUUGAAUUUCGAAUGUGUUCAAAAAAAAUAAUAAUUUCAGUACACACCUUCUGCUUUUCAAAUUAAAAUCGUAAAUGAAAAACCAAGAGCUCGCAUGAAAUAUGAACACUUUACUUUAAAGACGACUUUGAUGCUCUGUAUUAUUUAAAACUCCAAGUUUGAAAUUUUAUAAUCAUUUUAUUUAGGUACAAUAGUUUAGAAACAUUUACAAAGAUUUGCCUAAGAUAUAAAAAACUACAUACUUAUUCAUUUAUUUGAUCAAUAAAACUCACCGUCGAUAUCCCAAGUAACAACAAGCAUUAUAUCAUAACAUUAAUUCCAUCGUAUUAUAAUUUAGCUAAUGCAACAUAACUUUUAUUUUACAUCUGUCAAGUAAUGAAGCGUUUAAUCUACAUUAUGAAAGCAUUGAAGCAUUACGAGAUUUUGACGGUUCUGUAUAGUUCUAUAGAGCCGUUGUUAAAUGCUUCAUUGCAUUACCAUGUUAAAAGCUUUAUAGCAAUCAAUAAUGCAAGCAUUUAUUACUUUAUAUGUGCCUUUACUAAAGCUUCCAUCGUUGUAAACAGAAAAAUAUCGCUCAGUUCGAAAAAAAAACUGUGAAACACUUUUAGAAACAGAACCAUUUAAAACAAACCAAAAUUUUCAUGGAUUGCUGCGGAGCACUUAGAUUAUCACGCUCUGAUGUGGUCGGCGUUCAGUCAGAGUGGACUACGCGAUUUUUCUGGCAGUUAAAGAUAAGCUGAGGAAUUCGUUAAACCUGUACUUUUCGACGUUAUUUUGAUGCAGAUGUGUCAUUACAUACAAGAAUAAUAGUAUUUCUAAAAAUAAUGCCAGAGGUUUGAAAUUUCAAGUGCUUGCAGGACAUUUUCUCGAAAUUAUUGAAAAACAGAUGGUUAAGUCAGACCUAACGCCGACCAUGUUGCUGUGUGAAAAUUUAUAUUAUGUAUGUUUUUUUGGGUUUCUGGUUGGGACAUGAAAAUAAUCAGAUGCUGAGGGAACAAAAAUUAUGUGGGGUAUCGGUUUCCUUGUUUAACCGGAUUUCAUAAAAGGAAGAAUUGAAGCGCUGUUUGUAUUGUUUCUUAUUUAUUGUAUUUUAGGUAGAAGUGAGCACAUAUGAAAACAAAAAAACAGAAUCAACACAGACGAAUUUAUAUUCGAGAGUAACAUAACUGAUGGCAUUCAGACCCCGGCACAUUUUUUAGAGUUGCUGAAAACACAACUCAAUAAGGCACUAGCUAAGUAUACUUCACUUUAUGUUGCACAUUUUUCCAGGUGCAAAAUACAUGGUCGUAGCACACAGCAUUAGCGCGUCCGAGUUUCAUCGUGGUCAGUUUCAGCAGUCUAGGUUCAAUUCCCGAAAUACAAUAAAAAACAUCAAAGUGAGAGUAUCGGAAGAUAAAAAUAGAUAGAAAAAUGAUAAACAUACUUUUUUUCAUUUUUGACAUGAUGCAUUAAGUGUGCAUUCCAUGCGAUUUGAUUGCAUUAGCUAUUGUCGGGCCGCCACCAAACCGGACUUCGCACAAUCAAGUCGCGACGCGACCCAACUCGCGACGUUUUUUAAUCAUGUCAAAUGUAGUGCGCAUCCUUCCCGUUGUUGUCAGCAACACAGCGCACUAGAUGCGAAACAGUUGCGACGCUUGUGGACCAAGAAAAUGGCAAUUUUUGAUUGAAUGUCGGUCUUGAUUCCAACCGGAUAGACAAUAUAAGGUACAAGCAUUUUAUAUGCUUUAGCAAUCACCACAGUAAAGCUUGCUGUAAAUCAACAAUAGUAGCGCCACACACUUAGAAAAUAGAACCGAACUCGGUUCAAUUUCAACCGAGUUUUUAUCUGCUGAACGCUCGGUUCCUCGCUCGGUUCAAAACUUUACAACCGAGUUUUCGGUAGACGUUCUUUGUCAUAGAAACGUCAAACUUACCGAAAAAACUCGGUCGAAAAGUCUGAUUCAACCGAACAUUCAGUACAAUUUAUUAUUACCGAGAGCUGUCAAACCAAACGAAUUUCGGUUCUUUUUAUUAGUCCUGCAUUUCAUUCAUAGUAAUUUCCAAGGUAAUUUCAGCAUAAAGAAUAAAAACAAAUUCAUAAUUGGAGAAAACAAUGAUUUAUUACUUGCUCCCAAUGUUUAAAACACACCUAUUUUUAAAUACAAUUUUGCACAUAUUUUGUUUGUUCGUACAUGCCGCAGAUUGGAUGAGCAACCAACGGGUAAAGCUUCAUCUGGUGAAAAAACUUACAUGCCAUUUCCUAUGCGGUUUCUAAAAAAGCUUGGGAAUUACGUUGUUGCUGGUUCGUCUGUGGCCUUUUUCUGGAGAUUGUUCGUGAGCUGAAAACACACGUCUUCAAUCAAUAUAGAUGUUAUAAAAAUAUAAUAAAAACAAAUUUUCUCACCUAUUUCCUCUGCGAUUGUAAUUUACGAUCCGAAUGCAAGGACCUUCACUUCAGAAACAAACAUGGCCGAUUGGUUUGCGUAGUCAAACCAAGUGCGCAACCGACUUUUCGGUUGAAGUAUCCGACGUGAAGUUCACCGCAUUUGACGUUUGAACAAUGCUUGGUGUU